AUAGCAAGCUUUUCUUGCCGCAUAAUGCAUUUGCAUUAUGAGGAAAGUCCGGGCAGCACAGAGCACCGUACUUCCUAACAGGAAGGAUUCGUCUGUGACGAAUACAGAAAGUGCCACAGAAAAUAUACCGUCCACCUUUGGUGGAUAAGGGUGAAAAGGUGCGGUAAGAGCGCACCGCUCCGAGGGUGACUAAGGAGGCAGGGUAAACCUUACGGGCUGAAAGGUCAAAUAAGUGAUGUAAUACUGGCUUAGCCAGUUAUAGGGUUGCUCGCCCUAUUCUUUUUUUCGAAAAAGAUGCAUUACGGGUAGACCGUUAGAGGCGUUUGGCGACGGACGUCCUAGAUAAAUGGCAAGAGCCUCUACUGGAGGAACAGAACCCGGCUUAUAAGCUUGCUUUUUUU
rnacentral:RNase_P_RNA from 1 species